AUCACGACGAUGAAUACUUUAAGGAAAAGUAUGAGGAACCAAUACUCUAAUUGUACAAUGCAUACAAUGAAGGGUUUAAUUGUAAUUAAAAUUAAAUUAUGGAUAACUAAUUAAUUAUUUCAUAUUUAAAAUUUGAAUAAAAUUAGGAUUCUCCUCAAUGACAUCAACACAAACAGCAGCCCUAAUUCUAAUUUUCUUUCUGAGGUGUUUUUCUUCUUCUUUCCUUUCAGCACUGGCAUCCCCUCUUCCUCCCUCAUGCUGCCAUCAUCCACCGCACCAAACUCCCCUCGCGUCGCCCUCCUCAAUCGCGCCCCAGCGGGCGCGUCCUCCCUCAUAUCUCCCUCUACCAUGAUACAACGACCCCGACCAUUGUUAGCGCGGCCGUUGAAGCUCGCCACCGUUUGCUGCCCGAUGGCCCCCCUGCUCACCACCGGGCUUGUUGCGAUUUUGCUCUCCGCGACUGAUGCUCACCAACACGAUAAUCUUCUCUCUGUAGUGCUGUUUCAAUUUGUAUGUUUUUAGUGUCAUUAAUUUUUUAGAUUUGAAUAAAAGUUUGUUGGAUAUUUUGUGGGUUUUUUUAUCAUUAUUUUGAUUAGUCAUGGAAAUUCAAGGACCAACUGAUCACAACUCUCUUACUAAUGGCUCUAAGACCAAAGCUUUUGGGAUGAUAUUGAAGAAGAGCCAAGGUCUUUGGGUCCUCUUGGUUUCCAACAGAUUGUGUGGAUGAAAUUGAUGCACAAUAGGUCUUUGGAUAUGCCCUUUACAAAGAUGGGGAAAAUACCAAGCUCUCUUAUCCCUUGGAAAAGUUUAGUUCUGAUAUUUCUGAUAAAAGCUUUCACAACGGCCAUUUCAUCCAAAGAAUGCUAGCGAAGGCUUCUUCUCUUCCCAAGUACAAUUUUCUCAUCAAAGUUUAGGUCGGAUGUUCAUUUUACUAGGUCGUGGACGUGACGGACGUGACUGAGCUAGAAACUGAUAAGACAGAACUUAGUCAUAUUGUAGAAUUGGAUUUAGUGUGUGUUUGGAUUAUAGUUUACA